rnacentral:rRNA from 1 species
GUGUCAGCCGCCGCGGUAAUACGGAGGGUGCAAGCGUUGUCCGGAUUUAUUGGGUUUAAAGGGUGCGUAGGCGGCCUUAUAAGUCAGUGGUGAAAGCCCACAGCUCAACUGUGGAACUGCCAUUGAUACUGUAAGGCUUGAGUACAGACGAGGUAGGCGGAAUUGAUGGUGUAGCGGUGAAAUGCAUAGAUACCAUCAAGAACACCGAUUGCGUAGGCAGCUUACUAGGCUGUAACUGACGCUGAGGCACGAAAGCGUGGGGAGCGAACAGGAUUAGAUACCCUCGUAGUCC